CCUACGGGAGGCAGCAGUGAGGAAUAUUGGUCAAUGGACGCAAGUCUGAACCAGCCAUGCCGCGUGCAGGAAGACGGCUCUAUGAGUUGUAAACUGCUUUUGUACGAGGGUAAACGCAGAUACGCGUAUCUGUCUGAAAGUAUCGUACGAAUAAGGAUCGGCUAACUCCGUGCCAGCAGCCGCGGUAAUACGGAGGAUUCAAGCGUUAUCCGGAUUUAUUGGGUUUAAAGGGUGCGUAGGCGGUCGGAUAAGUUAGAGGUGAAAUCCCGAGGCUCAACUUCGGAAUUGCCUCUGAUAUUGUUCGGCUAGAGAGUAGUUGCGGUAGGCGGAAUGUAUGGUGUAGCGGUGAAAUGCUUAGAGAUCAUACAGAACACCGAUUGCGAAGGCAGCUUACCAAGCUACUUCUGACGUUGAGGCACGAAAGCGUGGGGAGCGAACAGGAUUAGAUACCCCUGUAGUC
rnacentral:rRNA from 1 species